UACGUAGGGGGCAAGCGUUGUCCGGAUUUAUUGGGCGUAAAGAGCGUGUAGGCGGCCAUGUAGGUCCGUUGUGAAAACUCGAGGCUCAACCUCGAGACGCCGAUGGAAACCAUGUGGCUAGAGGCCGGAAGAGGAGAGUGGAAUUCCUGGUGUAGCGGUGAAAUGCGCAGAUAUCAGGAAGAACACCCGUGGCUAAGGCGGCUCUCUAGUACGGUACUGACGCUGAGACGCGAAAGCGUGGGGAGCGAACAGG
rnacentral:rRNA from 1 species